AUCACUGAUGUUGUAUGUCAAUCUCGGCCCAUGUUGUCUGAUCUUGAACCGGCAGCAGGAGCCACAACCACUUUACACAAUGAGCAGCGCUGACUGCCGGGACGUCUGCCGAGUGACGUCCUUCCACUCCACACCGCAACGUCAGGGGCGUCACUAGUCAGACAUCCCAGCAGCCAGCGAUGCUCAUUGAGCCUGCUGGGAAGAAACCUAUUGGCCCAGGCUGUUGGGGCCACCGAAUGAUAUUACAAAUACUGAGUGUCUGGUUAGGAGAAACAAAUAUAACGCACCCACGGGGAGUAGCGCCAUUUUAUUAAAAAUUACCAAAAAUCCCUUAGAUAACAGUCAUGCAGACUAUGUUAAAAAGCUUUUUAUUUUCAGCCAAUCAGAGAGCAGCACUACUGAAAUAGAACUCCCAGGAGGAGCAGCGUGUCACACAUGUGAUGUCAUAACCAUUGUCCACCAGAGAGCAGCACUGAGCAGAAAUAACACGGCUCCUGCUCAUUCUUCAUCAGUGAGGGGCUGAUGUUGGACACUGUAGGGACCCUGGAAUAUAGGUGUAUACACAUGACUGGUAAGUACACUUUCUAUAUACAUUUCUAUAAUAAACACAUACUAAAUAAUCUUUCUUUUCCUUUCUUUUCUUUUCUUUUUCUCUUUUAGAUGCAGUAUUUCCAGGAUGUGGAGUCGCAUUUCCGGACUUACAGUAAGAUGACUGUAUUUCCAGGAUGUGGAGUCUCAUUUCCGGACUUACAGCAAGAAGUUGGAUGAAGGCCCAGCCCCAGGAAUCACGCACAUACACAGACACAUUGGCCCAAAUUCUAGAGGUAACCUCCUUUAGUAUGCCCAGAGGAAGGGCAAUACAGUAGCCAUGGAUUCCCUACAGGUUUCCUCCCCUCUGGAGGUUUUUCCUGUCCUGAGUUAGUUACUGUACGCUCUUUGUGAGUGAUGGGAGGUUACAAAAAAAUCCCGACACAAACAUUUUAAUAAAUAAUAAAUAAAUUUCCCCUUUUUUUAAAAC